rnacentral:rRNA from 1 species
UGAUACUUUAAGUAUCCUAAAGGGUUGUCGGAGACUACGACGUUGAUAGGUCAGGUGUGUAAGUGCUGUGAGGCAUUGAGCUAACUGAUACUAAUUGCCCGUGAGGCUUAACCAUACAACACCCAAGGGGUUU